rnacentral:lncRNA from 1 species
CCCUCCCCCCCCCUCUUUAUCCGGCGGACACCGAGCCCACGACGAGUCCCGCUGGGCGCCUAGAGCGUCGCCGGAAGUGCCGAGCGGCGGGGACUAAGGUCGGGCGGGAGCACUUCCUGCUCGGGACGCGACUCGGGGUGUGUGUUAUGUGCACAACGUCGGGGCUUGAGAAGACCUAGUGAAUCGGCGUGUGUUGCUCAGGGUAAACGAUUGUAGGACCAGAACUGAGAAGAGUGGAUUCCAAAUCAUGGCAGUUCCUGAAAAAGAAUCAUAUCCAGUGAUGUCCAGAUUCCUAAAAGAUAUCCCACAGGGAUUGGAAUGUCAUGAAUCUUGCAAAAGUGAGGAAGAUAUAGAGAUACAGAAAGAUUCUUUGAUUGGAAUAGUUUUUGACAAGAAAGCUCCUAACGGGGAGGAAGACUUCAAUGCCAGCUCAAAUCUUGGAGGACUGCGUAUCCUAGCCUGAGUUCCUUGACAUUCAUCCUUUUCUACCUCUAGGCCCAGAGUGGCCUCAAGCUCCCAGAAAGCAAGGUAAUUUAAUGCAGGACAAAAUCUGUUUGUUUUCCUCUGCUUAGCUACUGUUGGUUAAGUAG